rnacentral:rRNA from 1 species
AUGGCUUCUAUUGCAAUGCUUGUGUCUUUGUGGAAUGAGCGCAACGCAAAUGUCUUCAACAACAAGUUCGCUAUGUCGAUUGUGAUCAUGGCCAAAAUCCGGUGCGAGGCAAAGAAUUGGGGGUUGGCGGGUGCAACUCAUUUAUAUAAUCUCAUGCCGGGAGAGUAG